rnacentral:lncRNA from 10 species
GAUUUUUGAGUAAGAUCUCAGUGAAGAAAGAGCAGUUUUUAUCUGUUUCUCCUGAUGUGCUUUGGUUCUCCUAAUGAGGAAAUAGAGGCUAAAGGGAACAGCUCUCUCUGCCCUUAAUUAAUUCAAUCUUCUGCAGUGUGUGCUAAUCUGUUGUUUUCAGCUAGACUGUUGGCUUCUUGAGGGCGGGGGCCAAGGAUUCCCCAGUCUUCAUAGUCCCCGCUGAGCCUAGCACAAGGCUAAGCAGGCAGAACAGUCUGCUCAUGACUGAUCGAGGCCCACUUUGUUGUCAUCUUUGUUUUCCAGAGUGAGUAUAUUGCUCCAUGUGACUGUCGGCGGGCUUUUGUCUCUGGAUUCGAUGGCUCUGCGGGCACAGCCAUCAUCACAGAAGAGCAUGCAGCCAUGUGGACUGACGGGCGCUACUUUCUCCAGGCUGCCAAGCAAAUGGACAGCAACUGGACACUUAUGAAGAUGGGU